UCUCUCCUAUAAAUAUCGCCAGUGGCUCGGACUUCCCGGUCACCAAACUGUCUGCGACGCUUCCAGAACUGGGAAUUUGCAACCGUUUUCCGAGAUUUGUUACCAGCCGUCGGAUUAUCAUCGGAUCUCAGAUGGGUGACGUGUCAGAACGUGAGAGAAAGAUCCUUGUGGCCGUCGACGAGGGCGAGGAGAGCUUGUACGCGUUGUCUUGGUGUUUGAGGAAUGUAAUUUCUCAAAAUUCCAAAGAUACCCUUAUCCUCCUCUACGCUCGGCCACCCCGCCCGAUUUACACCGCCAUGGAUGGCACUGGGUAUUUGUUUUCAGCGGAUAUUAUGGCCACGAUGGAGAGGCAUAGUCGUGACGUGGCGGCGGCCAUUGUGGAGAAGGCCAAGAAGCUAUGCAAGGAUCUAAAUAAUGUGAAGGUGGAGACAAGAGUGGAAAGUGGAGAUGCAAGGGACGUGAUAUGUGAGAUGGUGGAGAAAUUGGGUGCUGACGUGUUGGUCAUGGGUUGCCAUGGCUAUGGUCCAAUCAAAAGGUAAGGGAAUAGUCCAACUUUCGACCCUAUAUUGGCUUCCAGUACUUUCUAUUCUCGGUAACAAGGGCAUUGAUUGGGAGUGUGAGCAACCAUUGUGCAAGGAUUGUGAAGUGUCCCAUUUUAAUUGUAAAGAAGCCCAAAGACUCAGCUGCUUAGUAAAUAAAUAUGUUUUUUCUUUUUAAUUUUCUUUUUGAGUACCAUUUCGUAAAAAAAACACACAAUUAUGUA